UUGCUCAGCCAUUUGAUCACCAACAUGGCCGCUAAAUACCUGAGUCGUGAACACAGCAUGGAUCAAAGACUCAUUACCACCAAAAUGCAAAGCAGUUACACAGAAAGUCAACUUCAGGAAAACACAUACAAAUCACAGCACAGUGGAAAGGAUCUUCUGGAAGCGAACGAGUGUAGUAGACCCCCAAAUGAAGGAUUGGAAAUAACCCUAACCUCGGGUUAUUUACAAACAGAUUAUAUAUAUAUUUUUUUUUCAAAUACAUUAUCGAUCCUAAGAGUAAAUCAAAUGUUGCCAUAUCUCAUAUCGUCCAAGUAUUUUCAAACAGUCAUUGGGGAUGAUGAUGAUGAUGAUGCUUUGGGCAGGAAGGCUCUCUGGUAGCAGUCAGUGUUGCAUCGAAUCUGAAGAGGCCUCUGACUGAUUAUGACAUGCUAACAGCUCAAUAUUCGGGCAGCAGAGACAGUAUGCCACACUAACAUGUCUUGGAUGCAAACUCAGAACCAGAACCAAACUAGGAGAAGCAGCAUUCAGCUUCAAUGCACCACACAUCUGGAACAAACUUCCAGAAAACUGUAAAACAGCUGAAACACUGACUUCCUUUAAAUUUUGACCUAAAACCCACCUGUUUAGAAUUGUAUUUGAAACGUGAUCAAUUACCAAUUUCAUAAUGGCACUUGACUUAAUGUAAUGUUUUGAUUGUUGAGUCUAUGUUGCAGCACUUUGUGUUUUUGUGUUUGUUAUGAUGUAAAGCACCUUGACAUGCCUUGCUGCUGAAAUGUGCUAUACAAAUACAAUUUGAUUGAUUGAUUGAU